UGUUAACACACAACGUCUAUUCAUACUAAACCAGAGAGCAGGGAGAGGGUUCCCUGUUAAAACAACGUCUAUUCAUACUAAACCAGAGAGCAGGGAGAGGGUUCCCUGUUCUAAUCACCUCAGCUUAAACCUCUGUUAUUAACACAGCAACGUUGUCAUUCUGCUAGUUCUGGGUUUCAGUUGAGUCUGUGUGGAGUGGACAGACUUUUGUUGGUAUACACAGACCUUAUACACAGACCUUAUACACAGACCUUAUUUAAGCUUCCAUGUACUGUGAAUCUUCUAGUGAAGAGUAUAGGGAUGUUUAGUUAGGAAGACUGACGUCAGGGACGUUUAGUGUGACGUACACGGCCUUCGGAAAGUUUUCAGACCCCUUGACUUUUUCCACAUUUUAUUACGUUAAGGCAAAUGUAUUCAAUUGUUUUUUCUCCUCAUUAAUCUACACACAAUACCCCAUAAUGACAAAGCAAAAACAGGUUUUCAUUAAGGAUCUCUCUGUACUUUGCCACGUUCAUGUUUGCAUUGAUCCUGACUAGUCUCCCAGUCCUGCCGCUGAAAAACAUCCCCACAGCAUGAUGCUGCCACCACCAGGAUUGUGCCAGGUUUCGUCCAGACGUGACGCUUGGCAUUCAGGCCAAAGACUUCAAUCGUGGUUUCAUCAAACCAGAUAAUCUUGUUUCUCAUGGUCUUUAGAGUCUUUAGGUGUCUGUUGGCAAACUCCAAGAGGACUGUCGUGUCUUUUACUGAGGAGUGGCUUCCGUCUGGCCACCCUACCAUAAAGGCCUGAUUGGUGGUGUGCUACAGAGAUGGUUGUCCUUCUGGAAGGUUCUCCAAUCUCCACAGAGGAUCUCUAGAGCUCUGUCAGAGUGACCAUCGGGUUCUUGGUCACCUAAAUAAAGUAGUUCUGUUUUUUUUAUUUGUAAUAAAUUUGCCAAAAUUUCUAAAAACCUGUUUUUGCUUUGUUCUAAUAGCGCAUUUGUUAAAGGAAUUAGAUUCCUAUGUUUAUUAACCAAUUCAAAUUAAACACUCAAAUUUGAAAGAUACUUAUUUGCAUAAAAUGGACAGAGGCCAGUCUCAAAAUCAAUCAAUAGCGUUUAUUCUCGAGAGUACUGAUCAUGGUACAAUUUACAACAGGUUAUAAACUAAAAAAUGACGUCAUAGGUUUUAAACUGUCCCUCCUCCACUCCGAUACAAUGGCAGUAUAGUUCACAAGCCUUCCCACAUCGUCCACCACCUGUUAGAUAAUCUACUACCAGCCCAAGGUCUCUCCUCUCCUUGUGUAGAUAAGCAUUCUAGCCAGUCUGACGAUAACUUCAUUCGUUUCUACCAAGGAACAGACAGUCUUUGUUCUAAUUCUUGAAUAUAUUAUACAUUAUAUUCAUUAUAUUCGGUAUAUUAUAAUAAGAUUCAUACAUCCAUACAGUAACAUAAUAGUAUUCUGUUUAGUCAUAGUUCUGAUUGUAAUGUAUACAUAAUUUAGUCACUAUUGAUAAAAAUCCCUUAACAGUAUUGUGUGUAGAUUGCUGUUUUAAUUUCAAUCCAUUUUAGAAUAAGGCUGUACUGUGACAAUGUGGAAUAAGGAAAGGGGUCUGAGUACUUUCCGAAUGCACUGUAUAUGGACGUUUAGUUAGGUAGAGUGACUUAUCUGUACAUACAGUAAUAUUAACAGCUUUCUACUGAUGUUACACAUGAAACACUAAACACAUUGUACAUGAACAUGAUGCCGAGAGGGAUUCUCCUCUUCUAUUUAAACUCACCAAUGAUCCUUUUAUUUUCUCCUUUUUGAGAGAAGCAGCUGGCAUGAUUGAUGACUUAACAAAUUGAUAAAGGAGUAUUCUAAACUACAUAUUUAGUGUGUAUCCCAAAAUAGCACCCUAUCCCCUAUUAAAGAGCACACCUUUUGACAGGGCCCUGGGUUUAAAAAUUUUUUUUAAAGAAGUGCGCUUUUCUAGGGAAUAGGGAAUCAUUUGAGACUCGGGCCUUCUCCUGGUGAGGUGUUGAGGUGUUUUUGGUGUGCCCUAAGAGGAGAGGUUUCGUUAAAAACACUUCCCUUCACAGUGUACUACUUUUUGGCCCCCGGUCUUGUUGUUUAGGGAGUCCGGUCUUCAGAUGAACUCUCUGCGUUGUUUAGGGAGUUCUUGCUUGUUUUAUGCUGGACACAUUCUAUGAAAACCAACAGCACAAUGCACUUGCGGUGUUUGUAUAAAACACAUUCAUUUAUUCAAAUCGACCAACUUGACUUUUUGAUUUGUAGCAAAUGGCACCCUAUUCCCUAUAUAGUGCCCUACUUUUGACCAGGGCCCAUAGGGUAGUGCACUAUUAAGGGAAUGGGGUGCACAAGUAGCCUUUUGUGACCGAUUGAAAAUGGUUGAGCCUGAUACUGAGACAUAAAUCAUUAGGCCUAAUCAAUAAUGUCAUCUAUCAGUGUAAUUUUACUACCCUGGAAAAUAACCUCUUCAGCGUACACUAGUCUACUGCACUCCCUUGCUAUUAAAAAACUGUGUUCAUCUAAAAUACAUGACUACCUUCAAUACCAACGUUAAGGAGAUCUAUAAUCUAUAAAUGACUACCUUCAAUACCAACGUUAAGGAGAUCUAUAAUCUAUAAAUGACUACCUUCAAUACCAACGUUAAGGAGAUCUAUAAUCUAUAAAUGACUACCUUCAAUACCAAUGUUAAGGAGAUCUAUAAAUGACUUUACCUUCAAUACCAAUGUUUAGGAGAUCUAUAAUCAAUACAUGUAUAGGUUAAGCCGUAUCAGUUA
ensembl:lncRNA